rnacentral:rRNA from 1 species
GUCUACGGCCAUACCAUGCUGAACGCCCCCGAUCUCGUCUGAUCUCGGAAGCUAAGCAGGGUUGGGCCCAGUUAGUACCUGGAUGGAAGAGUAGACC